rnacentral:lncRNA from 1 species
AAUAUGUCGAAAUUGGAUAAAAUUUUAAUUUAUACCAAAUUAUAAAUAUAAUUUAUUACCUAUUAAUUUUUUAAAUCGUUAUUAACAUUGUUUAUUCCAUGCAUAUUAAAACAGCAAAUGACAAAAAUAUAAAAGACUACAAUACUAAUAAACAGACAAAACACAAUAUUAUAAGGAUAGAGAGCAUGCGCAUUAAGUUUGUGGCCAGAUCAAGGAAAGCAGACGACACAUCAUAAUUUAAAAAAAAAUAACAACUGAUUAAAAUACAAAAUUAAUAUUUAUAGAUAAUAAUUUUAUUUAUUUAAUACAUAUAUAUGAGAAAAUUUGGUUAUUCCGUUUUUCAUCUUUGUCAGAUACCUUUUUUUCGGCUUUACGCCACUUUCCAAUCAGUGAGAUUAUUAAGGGGUGGAUCAGUUCCAACCACGGGCUGCACUCGCAUCUAUGGAAGGGGAUCGCCCUGAGUCCGAAACCCUGAAAAACCUUUAUAGGAAAUACCGGAUCCGGGAAGCGAAUCCGGAUCCUCCUGCAUGGCACGCCAAAGCGUUAUCACCCGGUCAUCCGACCGUCCUUCGUCAGAUAUUAAGAGGCAGAAUUGUUUAAUUAAGUGACCACCAAAGAUAAUCUACAUCCUUAGUGAGAUCUACUAUCAGGAAAACCCUCAACAAAAUAUAUGGGGGUGAGACUCAGAAAUUGAACCAUAUUUCAAAACAAUAAGCGAACAUUAAUCUAAGCAGCCACUCGGCCGAUAAUAACUGAUCAUCAUCUAACUUAACUAAAACAUCCUUAUAGAGAAUAUGAAUCAAUACAUAAGUGGGACGAGUGCCAACUAAAAGUUUUUAUUGCCAAUGGAUGGCACCGUCGGUCAGAUGGUCGGAAUGAAAGCUCCUGGCCUGGAUCCUGAAGACUCCAGAAGUCCAGAAAUGCCAGCGUCUGAAGAAUCUAGAUUACUUCUUACUGGCUACUCCGGCAAUCUAGGAGUUUCUACUCCUGGAGGAUUCAGGCCCUCACACCUUCAAAAGUUUUUCAGGAGAUCCGGGCCCAGUUUGUUGAACCCGUGGUUCUCAUACACAUGUGAUGAUAUCUGGAGAAGUUAAGGGAAAUUAUGACUUGCUGAAGUAGAUUUCUUUUACGAACGCGGCCGUGGAACAUAAACUCAAUGACGUCAUUCUUCUUCCCCUCACAUGGCUGUGUUCCCGUUCACGUUCGUGUAAACGCCAUGCUGAAGCUGUCUAAUAACGUUUUCUUUCGAGAGUUGACACACGCUUCAUCUUCGUUUCUAUUUUAUUUUAUAAUUUAUCAUUUAUUAUAAGCACACUAAUACAAAACCUAUUUUACAAUAAAAAAAUAGAAUAUUACCACAAGAUUUGAAAAUGAUUUCCA